rnacentral:rRNA from 1 species
GAUGAACGCUGGCGGCGUGCCUAAUACAUGCAAGUCGAGCGAACGGACGAGAAGCUUGCUUCUCUGAUGUUAGCGGCGGACGGGUGAGUAACACGUGGAUAAUCUACCUAUAAGACUGGGAUAACUUCGGGAAACCGGAGCUAAUACCGGAUGAUAUUUUGAACCGCAUGGUUCAAAAGUGAAAGACGGUCUUGCUGUCACUUAUAGAUGGAUCCGCGCUGCAUUAGCUAGUUGGUAAGGUAAUGGCUUACCAAGGCAACGAUGCAUAGCCGACCUGAGAGGGUGAUCGGCCACACUGGAACUGAGACACGGUCCAGACUCCUACGGGAGGCAGCAGUAGGGAAUCUUCCGCAAUGGGCGAAAGCCUGACGGAGCAACGCCGCGUGAGUGAUGAAGGUCUUCGGAUCGUAAAACUCUGUUAUUAGGGAAGAACAUAUGUGUAAGUAACUGUGCACAUCUUGACGGUACCUAAUCAGAAAGCCACGGCUAACUACGUG